rnacentral:rRNA from 1 species
CGAUCUCCUGGCUCAGAUUGAACGCUAGCGGCAUGCUUUACACAUGCAAGUCGAACGGAAACGAGGAAAGCUUGCUUUCUGUCGUCGAGUGGCGAACGGGUGAGUAAUGCAUCGAUGUCUGUCUUUUAGUGGGGGAUAACAGCUUGAAAGAGUUGCUAAUACCGCAUAAUCCCUAGCGGGGAAAGCAGGGGACCUAUUCGUAGGCCUUGUGCUGAAAGAGGACGUGAUGUCUGAUUAGCUUGUUGGUGGGGUAAUGGCUUACCAAGGCUUCGAUCAGUAGCUGGUAUGAGAGUAUGACCAGCCACACUGGGAAUGAGAGACGGCCCAGACUCCUACGGGAGGCAGCAGUGGGGAAUUUUGGACAAUGGGGGAAACCCUGAUCCAGCAAUGCCGCGUGUGUGAUGAAGGCCUUCGGGUUGUAAAGCACUUUUGUUAGGGAAUAAAAGGUAUAUUUUAAUACAGUAUGCUGAUGAAGGUACCUAAAGAAUAAGCACCGGCUAACUACGUGCCAGCAGCCGCGGUAAUACGUAGGGUGCUAGCGUUAAUCGGAAUUACUGGGCGUAAAGAGUGCGUAGGCGGGAAUGUAAGACGGAUGUGAAAUACCAGGGCUCAACCUUGGUGCUGCGUUCGUAACUGCAUUUCUUGAGUGUCCUAGAGGGAGGUAGAAUUUCGCAUGUAGCAGUGGAAUGCGUAGAUAUGCGAAGGAAUACCGGUGGCGAAGGCGGCCUCCUGGGGAGACACUGACGCUGAGGCACGAAAGCGUGGGGAGCAAACAGGAUUAGAUACCCUGGUAGUCCACGCCCUAAACUAUGUCUACUAGCUGUCGGGUCGGUAACGAUUCGGUAGCGAAGCUAACGCGUGAAGUAGACCGCCUGGGGAGUACGGUCGCAAGAUUAAAACUCAAAGGAAUUGACGGGAACCCGCACAAGCGGUGGAUGAUGUGGAUUAAUUCGAUGCAACGCGAAAAACCUUACCUGCUCUUGACAUGUUAGAAAAUUUCUAGAGAUAGAUUUGUGCCUGAAAGGGAAUCUAAACACAGGUGCUGCAUGGCUGUCGUCAGCUCGUGUCGUACACAGAAACACAAUAAAACAAAAACAAACCCAAACAGAGAUCAAAAGCAAA